CCUACGGGUGGCAGCAGUGGGGAAUAUUGGGCAAUGGAGGAAACUCUGACCCAGCAACGCCGCGUGAAUGAUGAAGGUCUUCGGAUUGUAAACCACUGUCCCCAGGGACGAAGAUGACGGUACCUGGGGAGGAAGCUCCGGCUAACUACGUGCCAGCAGCCGCGGUGAUACGUAGGGAGCGAGCGUUGUCCGGAAUUACUGGGUGUAAAGGGAGCGUAGGCGGGACUGCAAGUUGGGUGUCAAAUCUACCGGCUCAACCGGUAGCCGCACUCAAAACUGCAGUUCUUGAGUGAAGUAGAGGCAGGCGGAAUUCCUAGUGUAGCGGUGAAAUGCGUAGAUAUUAGGAGGAACACCAGUGGCGAAGGCGGCCUGCUGGGCUUUUACUGACGCUGAGGCUCGAAAGUGUGGGGAGCAAACAGGAUUAGAUACCCCAGUAGUC
rnacentral:rRNA from 1 species